rnacentral:rRNA from 1 species
UACGUAGGGUGCGAGCGUUAAUCGGAAUUACUGGGCGUAAAGCGUGCGCAGGCGGUUCGCUGUGUCCGAUGUGAAAGCCCCGGGCUUAACCUGGGAAUGGCAUUGGAAACUGGCGGGCUUGAGUGCGGCAGAGGGGGGUGGAAUUCCGCGUGUAGCAGUGAAAUGCGUAGAGAUGCGGAGGAACACCGAUGGCGAAGGCAGCCCCCUGGGCUGACACUGACGCUCAUGCACGAAAGCGUGGGGAGCAACAGG